rnacentral:rRNA from 1 species
AUAAAAUUUAAUUUUUUUAUUAAAAAGUUAAAAUGAUUUAAAAAGACGAGAAGACCCUAUAGAGUUUAAUAAAUGAAUAAUUUAAUUUUAUUUUGNAAAAUAAUAUUAAAAAUUAUUUAUUUAUUUUAUUGGGGUGAUAGAAAAAUAAAUAAAACUUUUUUUAAAGAAAAACAUUUAUAAGUGAUUAAAUGAUCCAAUAAUAUUGAUUAUAAGAAAAAAUUACCUUAGGGAUAACAGCGUAAUUUUUUUUUUUAGUUCAAAUAAGAAAAAUGAGUUUGCGACCUCGAUGUUGGAUUAAGAUAAAAUUUGAAUGUAGAAGUUUAAAAUUUUGAUCUGUUCGAUCAUUAAAAUCUUACAUGAUCU